UAACAAGCCCGUGUUAUGUCUUCCCUCUUUCUUUGGCGCUUCCGAUGCACAAAUGGUGGCGGUGAAGCAGCAGGCCCGAGAGAGCGUGCAGGGGAGGAAGGAGUUCCUGGUGGAGGUGCUGAUACUGGCGGUGCUCAGCCACCCUAACUUCGUCAGCCUGAUCGGCUUCUGCGCGCAGGGGACAAGCGGCUGCUGUUGUACGAGUACAUGCCCUUCGGCAGCCUGGAGAGUCAUCUCUUUGGUAAUACUUCUCAAAAUUAUUUAGACUUGCUAAUAGAGCAUUCGAUGUUUAGCUUCUGCCAAUCUGUACAUUCUGUUCUUAGAUUUAUUUUCCCUCAAUACCUUGUUUAGUACAAGGAAGGACUGAUAUUAUUCCCCAGCCAGGGUCGUUGAUUAUUGUUUAUUUUAUCAUAGUUCAGUGUUUUUCAUCUGAAAAUAGAUUCAAAUGUGUACAGAGUAAGGGUCGUUAAAUUUUUAUCUAUAGUCCUU